rnacentral:rRNA from 1 species
GUGAAAGAAAAACCCAACGGAAAAAGCAAAGAGAGAACGAUGUGCGGCGGCGCCAUCCUAGCGCAGCUGAUCCCGCCGUCGGCGGGCCGUGCCCCGAAGCAGGUGGCCGCCGGCGGGGUCGCGCCCAAGAAUGGCGGCAUGAGCAAGAGGCACCACAGCAGCACCCCCGAUGUCGACGACUUCGAGGCCGCCUUCGAGGACUUCGAGGACGACGUCGACCUGCAGGCGGAGGACGACGGCGACGACCAUGCCGUUUUUGCAUCCAAGCCCGCCUUCUCCACGGCCUACUAUGAUGGCCGCGCGGCGCAGGCGGCCAGCAGGAAGAAGAGCGUCCGCCGCCUCCACGGCAUCCGGCAGCGGCCGUGGGGCAAGUGGGCGGCGGAGAUCCGCGACCCGCACAAGGGCACCCGCGUCUGGCUCGGAACGUUCGACACGGCCGAUGACGCCGCCCGGGCCUACGACGUCGCCGCCCGCCGCCUCCGUGGCAUCAAGGCCAAGGUCAACUUCCCCGACGCGGCGAGGGCCGGGGCGCGCUCGCGCCGCGCCAGCCGGAGAACUGCGCAGAAACCGCAGUGCCCGCCUGUGCGGACGACGGCGUACUCUGCCACCGCAGCUGCACACGCACACGUAGUACAGGCGGAGCAGGACGCUAUGAUGAUCAAACCUGAGCUGAUGGAGUUUUUUGAUGCGGACGCGUUCGUCGACCUGACCGCCGCCGUCGCCGCGCUGCCGCCUGUCACUGGCGCGAAGAAGCCGAUGGUCGAUGAGGAUUCGUCGGAUCGGAGCGGCGGCUGCGCCAUGCUGGUGUUCGCCGACGAGCUUGGGUUCGAUCCGUUCACGCUGUUCCAGCUCCCCUGCUCGGACACCUACGAAUCCAUCGACAGCCUCUUCGCCGGGGACGCCGUCAUCCAGGAUGCCCUCGGCGUGGACACUGGCAUGGAGGGCGUCAGCCUCUGGAGCUUCGAGGAGUUCCCCAUGGACAGCGCCAUUUUUUGA